rnacentral:lncRNA from 1 species
ACUUAUCUCUGCCUGUGAAUCAGGAAGACCAGCUCCUCCUACUGUCUUCUGUGUUAGGGAUCACUUCCUUGUUGAGUGGGACCUGAGUUUUGAGAGGGUCUUCUGCUCCUCUUCGUCUGGUCCCUUACUUCCAAGACCCCAGAGAGGAAGGCAUGCUGUUGGCUCUAGCUCUGCUUCUAGCUUUCCUGCCUCCUGCCAGUCAGAAAUCUUCCAACUUGGAAGGGAGAACAAAGUCAGUCACCAGGCCAACUGGGUCAUCAGCUGUAAUCACUUGUGAUCUUCCUGUAGAAAAUGCCGUCUACACCCACUGGUACCUACACCAGGAGGGGAAGGCCCCACAGCGUCUUCUGUACUAUGACUCCUACAACUCCAGGGUUGUGUUGGAAUCAGGAAUCAGUCGAGAAAAGUAUCAUACUUAUGCAAGCACAGGGAAGAGCCUUAAAUUUAUACUGGAAAAUCUAAUUGAACGUGACUCUGGGGUCUAUUACUGUGCCACCUGGGAUAGGCACAGUGAUUCAGACCUGUGCUACACCACACUGAAAAUCUGCCUUGUGACUACUCCUGGUACACAAGAUAGACCAGCCUCAUCUCAUUUCCUGCCCAUGAAUUCACUGUAUUCUGUACAAAGAGAAACACAGCUUAACUCCUCAUCUCUCCCCUAAUAUCACACUCCCCUGGCGGCAGCUGCACCCUGUUCUCCACCCCACCCUCAUGAGUUACCUAAAGACCAAACUACAAUCUCCCAGCUGUGUCAGCCAAGCAGCCUUGCUGACAGCAAAGUUCUUUCAGCUCUUCUAUGGGCUGGUGGAGACCCAUUCCACCUGCUUCCUAAGACAGACAAAUUCCUCAAGGACUGGUCUGUAAAGGGAUUCAUUUAGGAGACUAUAUGGGAAGACUAGCUUCACUCAAGCAUUUAUCCAAUUAUUGUCUAUAGGCUAAAAUAGUGCUUAUUCAUUGCUCAGGAUAAAUGUUGGAAUAACAACUUUGCACUUCAGUAAGACAUCUAACGUGUAUCAGAUCUGCUAUCUUUUGGACACACUGACAUUUUUUUCUACAUAACAAAUCAUGGUACUAUUGGUCUGCAGGAGAAUGGGUAAAAAAGUGAUAGUCAUAGGUACGCCAACUUGUGGGUCAUAUCAUAGGUUUUCAACCAUUUCAAGCAUCCCUGCCCUAAUGCAAGUAUCUGAAGGAUCUGACCCUUGCCCUGCAGCAGAAUUCAUUCCAUGUCCCCUCUGGAUAUUAGACUGAUAAUUUGGAUCAGGUCUCAGCAUGGGCCAUUGAGGAACACUACAGCCCUGCUGAGAGAUAAAAAGGAUUAUCCACUCAAGGAGUUCACACCUCCGGGCCGACAUGGAGAACGUGCCUAGAAGCAGACUUGGAGGGUGCUCAGUGGUGGGUUGUGGAAUGUAAGCCUGAAGAAGCAGAGUUUAAUUCUACGGGGGUGCUUUCAUAAUUUAGUACCCUGACAGGGCUCCUGGUGUUGGUCCUUAGACACUCCUGGGAUGGCUCCCUGGAAACAUGGAGGAAACCUUGGUCGCAUGACAUGAUACGGAGAUGUUGGAGCUGCCUGGACACAGUUACAGAGGGAGGCAUUAAAAGGCUUCGAGAGGUCUUAGAAAAUGACUCUUCCUGUCUCAAAAUGCAGUCCUUCAUUCUGAUUGAUGAAUUGGAAGCACAUGGCUGGUGUAAAGAAUAAGAAACUAAUUAUAAGCCAGGAAACAGCAGGAGAAGAAAGCAGAGAAGCAACGCUUACCCUGAAGAAUUAAUUUCCGUUUAGAAAAUAUCACAGCUGAUGUGUCAAAGGCCCCGGUAUGCAGGAAUGAGAUUAAACAAAUGUGGUCAUGAGGAAGAGGUUUCUGAAUAAUGAUAGAGAAGCUUGAGUCUACAAGAAAUCCAGAGUCCAGAAUACUGCAGGGGAGCAGUGCUGGGUUCAUGUUUAUCUGGUCUCUUGUCUAUUGGAUCCUCUUUCUUCCAGAACCCUAAACCUUGAAUCAGCCUUAUAGUCCUGGCUCCUAGAAGAGUGUUUCUCAAAGUGUACUCCACGGACCACCUGGAUAAGAAGCACGUGAGGCUUUUAAUUAAAAAAAAAAAAAAAAGUACAGGUUCUGGGAAGCAUCCAACACAAUAAGACAGAAUCUUGGAAUGAAGGGUGAAAAUGUGCAUUUUAAAAUAACCUCCAGAGCUGAUUCUUAUUCAAACUGACUUUUAAAAACUGCUGCACUAGUGGCAAGAGAUCGAGGGGCUGUCCUGAGCCUGACACAGAAAGGUGUUCUAGAAAGCUGCUCACAGGCUCCUUCGCAGCCCACCAAAUCCGCCUCACUCUUAUCUCCCCCAGCCCCUCAAAGCAGCUGCUUUGACAGUUUCUCACAUUUUUGCAUGAUAAUCCCACAACUGCAAUUCCUUCUGGCUUCCUGUGACCUCACGCAAGAAAAAGUUGUGUACUAAAUGAAU